rnacentral:rRNA from 1 species
UACGUAGGUGGCAAGCGUUGUCCGGAUUUACUGGGCGUAAAGGGCGCGUAGGCGGCCUGGUCAGUCGGAUGUGAAAGCCCGGGGCUCAACCCCGGAACGGCAUCCGAGACGGCCAGGCUGGAGACCGGGAGAGGAGAGUGGAAUAGCCAGUGUAGAGGUGAAAUUCGUAGAUAUUGGCUGGAACACCGGUGGCGAAAGCGGCUCUCUGGCCCGGUUCUGACGCUGAGGCGCGAAAGCGUGGGGAGCAAACAGG